CACCUGAUUGUGGUUUUAAAGUAAAACCGAAAGCUUGAAAAUGCAACAGUAUUGUCAGGAAUAACUGUGCUCUUUCCUGGAUGAACCCUGUUAUUGUGAAAUCUGUGUAAAGGCUUACUCUGGUGACAUCAGCUUCGGAGCAGCCAGCAGCUGGACCAAAUGAUCCAGAACCUUCUGUUGUAAAGUGGAUGGCCUGCAAUGCACAGGAGGAAGAGGUACAGUCCAUCAUCAGCCUCCUCCUGUGUGAGACCACCCCACCGCCCUGCCCUCCCCCCCCCCCCCCCCCCGCCUCCCCUACUCUUCCUCCCUCUCUAGCCGGGAUGUGUCCAUGAAAUAUGUGCAACUUCCCAUUGAAAUUAGAGGGCCCUGAACCAUGAAAGGCACCACAGGUAUUGGCUGUACAGCGUGCAGUGGCAGCACCACUACAUGCCCGGCCUCUGUGUUGUAAAGCUCCGACGGCAGAAAGACACACGACCACUCGUCUGUAACAUAUUAAAACCAAGGGAAAUAAAUUACCCUGGUGCUCUGAUGAAUUAUGAGUUGUGUCUCAGGAGCUGGAAACGCUUCAUAACUUGGAAAUCUUCUUUGGAAUAUGCAGGGAACCCUAUUGCAAUCCUAGCCCUCCCAUUGGGUUGUUGGGGCUCAUCCGGCCGUUUAUUGACUGGUACAGUGCAGCUUGAGUCGGUAGCGUCAAACAUCUUCAUCAAGAGCUAAACACUGGGAUUGUGCAGCUUUCUGGAAUGAUCCAUCUUUUUGAGGGCACCUCUGACAAGUUGGGCAUCCAUCUCCGAAACAUUUAAAGGUGAACAACUUUAUCUCGCGCCACUUUAAAGAACAUCACCUCCGUGCAAUCUCAAGAAGAUUGACGCUGUCAGAAGUGAAACGUUGUUAAGCCAUAUGACUGAUGGGCCACUCACAGGAAAAGUGGAGCGCUUGAUGAGAUAUUAAUCAGGCGGCGGCGGGAGGGGUGGAGCAGCGCCGUCGCACGCGGAUCCUAAAUGCGAGAUGUGAUGGAGAUGUUGGAGAUCUGAGUUGUCUUCGGCAAGGCGGAGCUUGUUGCAGGGGAAUAAUGAAUCGGCCCAUUAGCAUAUUGUCACCAGUUGUCUUGUUUAUUCCGAGGUGUUUGCCAAGCAGCUCUCCCCAAGGAGAAACGGGCGCUUCACAGUAACUUCUGGAGUAAACAGUGAUAUGCUAAUGCGCAUGCAAAUACACACACACACACACACACAUGCCUGCACACCCACGCUGUAUGCUCACAGACA